rnacentral:rRNA from 1 species
UACGUAGGGGGCUAGCGUUGUCCGGAUUUAUUGGGCGUAAAGAGCUCGUAGGCGGUUCCGUAAGUCGGAUGUGAAAACUCGGGGCUCAACCCCGAGACGCCAUCCGAUACUGCGGUGACUUGAGUCUGGUAGGGGAACACGGAAUUCCUGGUGUAGCGGUGAAAUGCGCAGAUAUCAGGAGGAACACCGAUGGCGAAGGCGGUUCUCUGGGCCUUACCUGACGCUGAGGAGCGAAAGCGUGGGGAGCAAACAGG